rnacentral:lncRNA from 1 species
CUCUCUCUCUCUUUUGAAGGGUUGUGACUCUUGUGAAUGAGCUGAAGACUGAAAUUCUUUCUCUUCUCUCUUCUUUUUCUUAAGAUUCAAGCUGAGUUAGGAUCUGCAAAAUCAAAAAGAGACGGAUUAUGCACACGCCAUGGACGGAUAGAAAUUAGAUAACAAAAGAGAGUCACGGAUGUAGCCAUUAAGUAACAAACCCAAACACCCAACCAAGCACAGAAAACAUUGAAAAAUACAAUGACUAUUAAACAAAAAUUAAUUAUGUCUCUUAUUCAUUUGAUGACAAUCACCGCCGGUAGUAGUAGGAUUUUGGUUCUAUUAAUCAAUCGAUUCAAAAUAGACGAGUUGAUAGCGAGAGAGAGGAGAAAAUUGUUGAAACACACGUUGGUUGAUGAAGAUCAGAUUGCCAUCAGGGGAGAUUUUAUAAUCUAAUAAUGCCACAUUAACGGGUCUAGCUAAAAAGUUGGUCAAUUUACUCAACCUACGUAUCACUUUCCUAAAUAGAACACCCUUAAUUCACUUAACGGAUUCACGAAAUAUCAAUAAUUCGGUGUAAAUUCGUUUUGAUUGAUUCAUGUAUUCACUCAUUAAUGCCGCG